rnacentral:rRNA from 1 species
UACGGGGGGGGCAAGCGUUGUUCGGAAUUACUGGGCGUAAAGGGCGCGUAGGCGGCCUGCUGAGUCGGACGUGAAAUCCCCCGGCUCAACCGGGGAACUGCGUCCGAUACUGGUGGGCUCGAAUCCGGGAGAGGGAUGUGGAAUUCCAGGUGUAGCGGUGAAAUGCGUAGAUAUCUGGAGGAACACCGGUGGCGAAGGCGGCAUCCUGGACCGGCAUUGACGCUGAGGCGCGAAAGCCAGGGGAGCAAACGGG